AAUAAAUCUGCGGAAAAUCUGCAUAAUUCUGCGCUCACAGAUUCCGUGUGGCCCUCAUUGUUACUCAACCUUUUGGUUUACAGACCAACUUCCUGGUUCUACUUGGACCUAGCAUUCUUACCGUAGUUGUGUGGCCUGAUAGUUGCGUUGAAUUGUCAUUUUGUUUCACUUAAUGCAUUCAACGUGACAUGGUGGUCAUGUUAGCCAAUUUCUCAACGAUCAUAGAAAUAUAGUAAUACCGUAUAGUUUUGUAAGUACAACAACGUGUAUUGCUGCCUUACUCUCAUCCAUGGCUUUGCCCAUUUUUUAUAGCCAUUGUGAUUUUUUUUUUUAUUGUGUUAAGAUGUAGCUAUUUUUUUGACUCUUGAAUAAAAAGCUGACGUCGCUAUUUCACAACUAAACACCUCUUAUACAAUAGGUGGAUUGUUUCUCCAUUAAAGGGAGAACACAAAACAGGACUCCAUGAACUGCUCCAUAAAUUGGAGAUUCAGAGGCCUGGAACCAGGAAUUUCACUGAUCUCACACUUUAGGCCACACUCCCUUUCGAUUUUAAUAUGAAAUAAAGUGGUUUAGAUUAUUCAGCUAAAGUGCUAGCUUGUUAAGUCUGAUCAGACUUUGUUGUGGCGAUGUCGUCUUGUUUCCAGAUCUUAGAAAUUACUUUGUUGAGUACAACAAUAAAACCUAAGUUUUUAUAAAGCGGAAUUGUCUUUUAAUUUAAAAAAUAAUAAUAACAAUAAUAAGGCUAUGCUGCCAUUAUACAAGGACAGCCUGCAGUUUUGUCUUUGUUUCUGUUUUGAAAGUUCACAAGUAGCGUAAAGCAUGUUCUUCCCAGUUUAAUUCAAGUACAACCCCAUUGAAUAAUUAAGAUGAUCAUUUUAGAAUUAAGCUUAGCAGUGUGGUUAGCAAUUAAUAAUCUGACUAAACCUUUUGAGGGUUUUGAUUUGUUCAGUGUUUUGUAUCAAAAUGUCCAAAUAUUCAUAAUGCGCUAUCCAAAUGAAGUAAUCUCCCACUUAUAUUUUAAACAAUAACUGCAGUCGUGAGGAAAACUUUGUAUCGAUUUAGCCUCUGCAGUACUUUAUGGAAUCUUGUGAGAAUCCCGUGUUAUCACUAAAUGUUGUCACUGAUUGUAGUUAUCUAUAAACGCUGUCAAAUUCUUCAAUACCUGAAUACUUGAGCUCUGUAGUAGUCCUUACUAACUGAUAAAAAUUUGAUUAAACACAGUGACAAAUAUUUGUAACCUUUCAUGUCCGAUUUUGUUUAAUUCUACAGCUUGCCUUUAUAGACGUGAUUUAAAUGCUACGUCUUAUAUCCCUGUGAAAUUACCUCCGCCAUUGCCCGAGACCUGUUGGGGGCUCGUCUGAACUAUUUAAAAUGUGGAGCUUUAUGAGCUCCUUUAACAGUGUCUAAGUAGAACUGUCAACGUGCAUGGAUUGAUUGUAAUGAUUUUGAUGGAUCUAUGUAAUAUUUAUGGACCACAAGUUUGCCGCCAUCCAUCAUAGCAUAGCAAAUGCUGCAUCAUACCAAGGGACUGUGGCUAUGGUAUGACAACAACUACAUUUCAAAAGCCCCUAUUUAUUUAUAAAUGACUAUGGAAUCACUGCCACAUUGGAUUUGUACUGCUCUGGGUGAUGAAUACUAUGCUAUAUAUUUUGAAAGCAAGCCCUUGUCCUUGUAGGAAAGCUAUUUCAAAUGAGAAUAUGUGUUUAUUUCAUUGUAAUUAUUUAGAAAAUCCACCACCUUAGAUUCAGUUUAUACAGGCUCUAAAACAACUAUGAUUGUGGUCAAAUUCAACCCAUAAGACCCAGAACGAGCAAUAUAUUAUGACAAGCAAAGAAGGUAUUUUUUCUAAUGUCAAAA